rnacentral:rRNA from 1 species
UUCGACACACUAUCAUUAACUGAAUCCAUAGGUUAAUGAGGCGAACCGGGGGAACUGAAACAUCUAAGUACCCCGAGGAAAAGAAAUCAACCGAGAUUCCCCCAGUAGCGGCGAGCGAACGGGGAGCAGCCCAGAGCCUGAAUCAGUGUGUGUGUUAGUGGAAGCGUCUGGAAAGGCGCGCGAUACAGGGUGACAGCCCCGUACACAAAAAUGCACAUGCUGUGAGCUCGAUGAGUAGGGCGGGACACGUGGUAUCCUGUCUGAAUAUGGGGGGACCAUCCUCCAAGGCUAAAUACUCCUGACUGACCGAUAGUGAACCAGUACCGUGAGGGAAAGGCGAAAAGAACCCCGGCGAGGGGAGUGAAAAAGAACCUGAAACCGUGUACGUACAAGCAGUGGGAGCACGCUUAGGCGUGUGACUGCGUACCUUUUGUAUAAUGGGUCAGCGACUUAUAUUCUGUAGCAAGGUUAACCGAAUAGGGGAGCCGAAGGGAAACCGAGUCUUAACUGGGCGUUAAGUUGCAGGGUAUAGACCCGAAACCCGGUGAUCUAGCCAUGGGCAGGUUGAAGGUUGGGUAACACUAACUGGAGGACCGAACCGACUAAUGUUGAAAAAUUAGCGGAUGACUUGUGGCUGGGGGUGAAAGGCCAAUCAAACCGGGAGAUAGCUGGUUCUCCCCGAAAGCU